ACUACUAGAUCUAAGGUUGUUUAAAAGUAAAUCACAGUUGCAAAUGUUUUGUUUCAAAUACACAACUCUAUUUAUAACCAGACUUUUUGAGGAAUUGUCUCUAGAUUUUAAUGUAAAUUAAAUUUAUCAAUUUACUUGGUAUUAAAUUUAAAGUUUCGAACCUCUUUUGUUAUCUGAAACAAAACAGUUCUCUGAGGUUGUUAUGUGUAUUAUGUAGUUACUACGCAACCUAUUGUUCUGUGGUAGCUAUGUACAAAAGUGUAAUGUUAUAGUUACUAACAAAAACAUUUAGUUUAUAAUCAGCGACCUGCAAGAAAGCAUCAGCUCCUCCACACAUGAUAAAAUACCUGCAGGUCUAACGUUGAGAAUGUUAUGAAACAUUAAUCCAAUAUAGAAACUAUAAAGAAAACCUGGGGAGAUAUCAUCCCUGUCGAUCUAUUGUGAUGGUAAGAAGUUUGAGAAGAGCUUCAUGUCGAUAACUCUUAAAAAGAAGUCUCCUGAGAAACCAACGUAUAAUGGGAUGAUGAAGGUCCAAAAAUAAACCUACCAAUAAACAUUUAAAUACGAAAACAGUUUGAAAAAGCAGUUAUUGGCAGUAUCAACAGAAUCCUGUAACUAGGUUGUGCCAUUUGAAUCACGACCAUGGAUCGAUCAUUUGGAACACGUGGUAAAACUACUGUUGGAUCCUGAGAACAAUUUCCUUGAGAGGAGCAUCUACUGUGGUGUGUUUAGUCGAAAUGGGAAGCCCAAAUUAUAAUUCAAUAGAAAAGGUAGGAAAGUAAUUGUAGUUAAUAUGAUUCUAUUUUUUGUACUCAUAUCUACUCAGGAUGUUGAAGUAACCUAUGUUAAUUCCUUUUAUGAAUAAUUUGUCAUUUCGAUUCUUCAGUUAUGAGCAAAAUGUUUGCUUUUUUUACUCUUAGUGAGUCAGUCGAACUUGUGUUAGUUUAAUAUUGAUAGGAAAUCAAAACGUACAGAUCAGUGUCUCAUAAGUGUUAACUUCAAUUUGGGUAAAUAAAAAAAAAGAUGUAGCGUCCAAAUUCUGGGUGCCAGAGCACUUGGUUCAUUAAGAACCAUAUUUCUAAUGUUUUAAUUUUUUAUAAACAUAAUUUAUUUGCAAUUGUUUUUAUUUUGUUUGGUUAAUUAAUUCAUUUGUUUACAACUCCACCAUUUAACAACCGUGACAUAAAAAUACCAUAAAUUUAUGUACGUAAUGUAAGUGAUAUAUAAAAACUAUGUUCUGGGACCCACAAUUUAGAUGGCACCACAGUUUUUCUCACUUUUAACUUGUCUAGUUUAGUUCUAUUCAGACCAAAACGAUUCGAAAAGUUGAUUCUUGUAAAAUCCAAUUUAUGAGUGGUAUGUUUCGUUGGUAUUUAGCAGAACUAAACAGGAUUUAUAGACAAAACGUUCAGCGCAAUCUGAACAAAACGUUAACGAAACAAUAAAAGGAUUUUACUAGUGGCAACUUCAAAGAACAGUUCUGCUUUUUGUUGCUUUCUGAAUGAGAAAAAUUGAUGUUACGUCCAAAUUCUGGGCACCAGAGUGCAUAGCUCUUUUAGAACCAUAUUUGUAAGAGGACUAUAUGUUUUGGUGCCCCCAAUUUGGACGAGACCACAAUUUUUCUCAUUUUUAACUGGUUUUGUUUAAUACUAUUCGAAAAGUAACCAAAAUUGUGACAACUCGAAAAUUUGAUAUUUGUAAAACCCAAUUUAAUAGUGACUUCUCGUGGGUGUUUUGGAGGACUGGUUUACUACGAUAUAAUGAAUGUUUCGAAUUGUGUCCAGGUUUUGAUUACUUUUUUUGGUAGAAUUAGGGGGUAAUUGAGUAAAAUUGAUGUUACGUCCAAAUUCUGGGCACCAGAGUGCACGGUUCUUCUAGAACCAUAUUUUGUAAGGGAACUAUGUGUUUUGGUGCCCCCAAUUUGGACGAUACCACAAUUUUUCUCAUUUUUAACUGGUUUUGUUUAAUACUAUUGAAAAAGUAACCAAAACUGUGACCACUCGAAAAUUUGCUAUUUAUAAAACUCAAUUUAAUAAUGACUUUUCGUGGGUGUUUCGGAGAACUGGUUCAGCUUUUGGUUGCUUUCUCAAUAGAAUUAAGGGAAGGAAACUGGGGUAAAUGAGUAAAACUGAAGUGCGUCCAAAUUCUGGGCACCAGAGUGCAUGGUUCUUUUAGAACCAUAUUUUGUAAGAGAACUAUGUGUUUUCGUGCCCCCAAUUUGGACGGGACCACAAUUUUUGUCAUUUUUACUGGUUUUGUUUAAUUCUAUUUGAAAAGUAACCAAAAUUAUGUGACAACUCGAAAAUUUGCUAUUUAUAAAACUCAACUUAAUUAUGACUUUUCGUGGGUGUUUCGGAGAGCUGGUUCAGCUUUUGGUUGCUUUUUUAGUAGAAUUAAGGGAAGGAAACUGGGGUAAAUGAGUAAAACUGAUGUUGCGUCCAAAUUCUGGGCACCAGAGUGCAUGGUUCUUUUAGAACCAUAUUUUGGAAGAGAACUAUGUGUUUUGGUGCCCCCAAUUUGGACGGGACCACAAUUUUUCUCAUUUUUAACUGGUUUCACUUAAUUCUAUUCUGAAAGUAACCAAAACAGGGUCAAUCUGAAAAGUUUUCUUUGGACUUUAUCCUUAACAAGAGCACAUUUUGAAGUUUUUGAUAUAGUCCUGAGAAAGUCGAAUCGAAAAUUUUAGGUGGGUGGUAUGGAGUACAAGAUGAGUAACAAAUUUCUACCAGAAGUUGCAUCAAAGAUUUCUUUCCCGGUGUGGAAUUUUUCUACCAUUACUUUCCUACCAACAUUUAUAUGACAUUCAAAUUUCAAAUCAUUCAUAUCAUUUGUGAUGUAACUUUCGUAUUAUGAUUUUGAUAAUUAUUAAUAAAUAUUAUUUAUUGUUAAUUUUCAUUUCAAACCAUUAUACUAAUUAACUGCCUUUUGAUAAGGUGUUUUUGAUACAGAUAUGCAAAAUAUAUCAUGUCUGUCUUUGAACACCUCUCCUUUGUAUAUAUGAUGUGAUUUGUUUAUAAUUUUACUAAAAAUAUACAAUAAAUUGUUAUAAAAACU